rnacentral:lncRNA from 1 species
CAUUUAUUGGCCUUCUGUAGCCUCUUUAUCAAAAAUACAGGAUCUCUGCUGUAACGUGACAUUUUCUAAGGCUCCCAUAGGCUCUCAGAAGGCGCCAGAACUUGGAAUGAUAACUCUGCAGUCUCUGGGCGAAAAACAGUAGGGCUUUUGGAGAGUGGUCCUUCUGAGAACAAUGACACUGGUGUGCGCGUGCAUGUGAAGACUCCAUUUUCUUAUUUCAGUGUUUGAAUGGAUACAUUUCCCGGAACCGCGCCGGCGCGUCACCCUUCGGAUAGUGAUUUGAACGCACGAACAAAAUUGAGCUAUUUGGAUAUAACUAUGGAUUAUUUGGAACCAAAACAACAUUGGGUGUUGAAGUAGAAGUCCUGGGAGUGCAUUCUGACGAAGAACAGCAAAGACGACGAUUUCGCUAUAUCGUCCUCCGACGAAGAAAGCCGUGACAGAAUCUCCCACCAAACCAGGACCAAGCAGCAGAGGAAGGAGCAGAGGAAUUGUGAUUUGGACAAUCGGGAGAGAUGGACAUGGGAGCAGGUUAUGGCCGGAGAAGGCCCAUGGAGUAAGGCUGUGUCUGUUCACAUGCAUAGGUUGACCUAAACAGUACAAACAUCUUCUGAGCAUGACUCCUAAUCUUCGGAAAGUUUUGUUCAUCACUCAACGUCAACAAAACAAAGGAGAUGAUCGUGGACUUUAGGAAACAGAAGGCCAUCAACGCCAUCAGACUGUUAAUCAUCACUAACAUAGAGAGGCUGCUGCCAACAUACAGGCUCACAUCUCUGGCCUCUUUAAUAAAUUGACUUAAAGGUAUCACUAGUAAUAAAGGUAUCACUAGUCACUUUAAAUAACACCACUUUAAUAAUGUUUACAUGUCCUACAUUACUCAUCUCAUAUGUAUUCUAAACCAUCUACUGCUUCUUGCCUAUGCCUCACAGCAAUCACUCAUUGUCACGUCCUGACCCUAGUAAGAUGUCAUUUUCUAUAGUAGAGUAGGUCAGGGUGUGACAGGGGGUGUUUUGUGUUUUUCUAUGUUUUCUAUUUCUAUGUUUGAGUUCUAGGUUUUCUAUUUCUAUGUUGGGGUUGAUCUCCAAUUGGAGGCAGCUGAUCCUCGUUGCCUCUGAUUGGAGAUCAUAUUUAAGUAGGGGUUUUUGUG